UUGUUUAGUCAUAUCACAUUGAAAACACUGGUUCUCAUCUAAAGUUAAGCAACAUUGAGCCCAGUUAGUACUUAGGUGGGUGACUACUUGGGAAAUCUAGGUGCUGUAAACA
rnacentral:rRNA from 1 species